rnacentral:pre_miRNA from 1 species
AGUUGGAUAGCUGGUUCAAAUGGUAGUUCCAUUUUAAGUUUGUUUUUUUUUUAAGGAAUCUCCAGACUGCUUUCCAGAGUGGUUGCACCAAUUUGCAGUCUUACCAGCAAU